AUACAAGGGUUAACAGUGAUACAUUUCAAACUAGAAAUGAGUCAAGUUAUUGGCUUUGCAUUUGAAGCAGGACGUUUUACGUCCAAUCCCAG